rnacentral:RNase_P_RNA from 1 species
GUGGGUGACUGGGUAGCUGCUGAGAAAUCAGAGGAAAGUCCGGGCUCCUCAAAGCAAGACGCCAGGUAACGCCUGGACAGCGUAAGCUGAUGGAAAGUGCCACAGAAAGCAAACCGCCUUUUUAAGGUAAGGGUGAAAAGGUGCGGUAAGAGCGCACCGGUAUCCAGGUAACUGGAUGCGCAUGGUAAACCCCGUCUGGAGCAAGAUCAAGUAUAGGUUGUGUGCUUUGCAUUACCCUGGGUAGAUCGCUUGAGUUGAAUGGUGACAUUUAACCUAGAUAGAUAGCUACACAAGACAGAACCCGGCUUACAGGUCACACCACUUAA